rnacentral:rRNA from 1 species
UGAUUAUGGCUCAGAGUGAACGCUGGCGGCGUGCUUAACACAUGCAAGUCGAACGAGAACGGAUUAAAGCUUGCUUUAAUUGUCAGCUAAGUGGCGCACGGGUGAGUAGUAUAUAGUUAACCUGCCUCAAAGAAGGGAAUAAUUGUUGGAAACGACUUGUAACGCCCUAUAUGCCUUUAAGUCAUAAGACUGCAAGGGAAACAUUUAUGGCUUUGAGAUGGGACUGUACGGUAUCAGUUAGUUGGUGGGGUAAUGGCUUACCAAGACAAUGACGCCUAACUGGUUUGAGAGGAUGAUCAGUCACACUGGAACUGAGACACGGUCCAGACUCCUACGGGAGGCAGCAGUGGGGAAUAUUGCACAAUGGGGGAAACCCUGAUGCAGCAACGCCGCGUGGAGGAUGACACAUUUCGGUGCGUAAACUCCUUUUAUAUAAGAAGAUAAUGACGGUAUUAUAUGAAUAAGCACCGGCUAACUCCGUGCCAGCAGCCGCGGUAAUACGGGGGGUGCAAGCGUUACUCGGAAUCACUGGGCGUAAAGAGCAUGUAGGCUGGUAGAAAAGUUGGAAGUGAAAUC